GACGAACGCUGGCGGCGUGCUUAACACAUGCAAGUCGAACGGAAAGGCCCUGCUUUUGUGGGGUGCUCGAGUGGCGAACGGGUGAGUAACACGUGAGUAACCUGCCCUUGACUUUGGGAUAACUUCAGGAAACUGGGGCUAAUACCGGAUAGGAGCUCCUGCUGCAUGGUGGGGGUUGGAAAGUUUCGGCGGUUGGGGAUGGACUCGCGGCUUAUCAGCUUGUUGGUGGGGUAGUGGCUUACCAAGGCUUUGACGGGUAGCCGGCCUGAGAGGGUGACCGGCCAAAAUGGGACUGGAGUACGGCCCAGGCUCCUACGGGGGGCAAGAGGGGGGAAUAUUGCACAAUGGGCGGAAGCCUGAUGCAGCAACGCCGCGUGCGGGAUGACGGCCUUCGGGUUGUAAACCGCUUUCGCCUGUGACGAAGCGUGAGUGACGGUAAUGGGUAAAGAAGCACCGGCUAACUACGUG
rnacentral:rRNA from 1 species